rnacentral:rRNA from 1 species
AGCGAACGCUGGCGGCAGGCUUAACACAUGCAAGUCGAGCGGGCAUCUUCGGGUGUCAGCGGCGGACGGGUGAGUAACGCGUGGGAACGUGCCUUCUGGUUCGGAAUAACUCAGGGAAACUUGAGCUAAUACCGGAUACGCCCUUUUGGGGAAAGGUUUACUGCCGGAAGAUCGGCCCGCGUCUGAUUAGCUAGUUGGUGGGGUAACGGCCUACCAGGGCGACGAUCAGUAGCUGGUCUGAGAGGAUGAUCAGCCACACUGGGAUUGAGACACGGCCCAGACUCCUACGGGAGGCAGCAGUGGGGAAUAUUGGACAAUGGGGGCAACCCUGAUCCAGCCAUGCCGCGUGAGUGAUGAAGGCCUUAGGGUUGUAAAGCUCUUUUAUCCGGGACGAUAAUGACGGUACCGGAGGAAUAAGCCCCGGCUAACUUCGUGCCAGCAGCCGCCGUAA